rnacentral:rRNA from 1 species
UACGUAGGGUGCGAGCGUUAAUCGGAAUUACUGGGCGUAAAGCGUGCGCAGGCGGUUUUGUAAGCCAGGUGUGAAAUCCCCGGGCUCAACCUGGGAAUGGCAUUUGGGACUGCAAGGCUGGAGUGCGGCAGAGGAGACUGGAAUUCCUGGUGUAGCAGUGAAAUGCGUAGAUAUCAGGGGGAACACCGAUGGCGAAGGCAGGUCUCUGGGCUGACACUGACGCUCAUGCACGAAAGCGUGGGAGCAAACAGG